CCAGGACGUUGAUAGGUCAGGUGUGGAAGUGCAGUAAUGCAUUAAGCUAACUGAUACUAAUUGCCCGUAAGGCUUGUCCCUAUAACCUUGACGGUUAUAU
rnacentral:rRNA from 1 species